ensembl:lincRNA
GCAGCGGGGAAGACGGUCCACAGCCCAAUACAAUGGGGGCACGUGAAAUGUCAAGCACCCAAGUCGGCUGAGGGGACAGAGAGCAGUGGCCAAAUGCAGGAUCUCAGGAGUGUCAGGUGGUGUGGAUAUGGUGUGAGAGGCACAUGUCGACACCCAUGUGCUCUCAGGUGAGAAGGCGUAGGACUUGCAAAUGCCAUGCAUAAGAGAACAGGAGGUCAGUGGGUCUGUGGAGCCUCACGGAAGAGAAGAGGGAAGACAGACAGGGGCAUGAAGUCAGAGAUGUGGGUGGAGAGUCUCACAGGCACUGGAAAGAUUUGGAAUUCAUUCUCAGGUGUCUGAGCUGAUUUGUGAGCUGAUCAGAUUUAGACCACAGAGAAAUCUCUCUGUACGAGAACCCGACGUAACUGGAAAGGAGGGAGAGGACAGCAGCUGUGGUGGUCGCCGUUUGCCUGGUGCUGGAUCUUGAAGAGGAAGGAUGCAAAGACCCAUUUGUGUCACACACUUUCCUGCACAGACACUGAGCAAAGAGCUGACUGCGCAAUUGUUUGUUUUUGAUGAGAUAACAAUGAAGAUAGAAUUGUUAAAAGCAAAUGCUGUUCAAAUUCCAUCAUGCCGUACCUCGCUCCCCUGUGCUUGUGGACACCCCCAGCCCCCACGGAGACUUCCCGGAGACACCAGAGCCUUUGUCAAUGCCUGCUUGAUGCCUGGCACCAGUGAUGUUACAGAAGGAACAACUCUCUGUGAGACCAGCCUUCCAUGCGGAUUCUCUGCCUCGCUCUGGAGGGUGGCCAGCCAGGUGCUUGAGUCUGAAGGCUUGGAUUCAAAUGCAAGCUCUUUUAUGGUAAUCCCAUGGAGCCUUGGGUGAGGAGACUUUCACCUGAGCACCUGCAGUUUCCACCUCUGUAAAUCUGCAGCAAUUAAAGUCUCAGUCCCAUACACAUGCCUUCCAAACAAGAGUGAAUACAGGUACAGCUAAGCACAGUGCCUGGGACCCAAGUGUUAAGACCCUAGGUAUCAUUCUUGGUCCCAUUUUUCUUUGCAUUCAGGCAUUUGUUUAUUAGUUCAUCUCUGAAGCAAGCCCGUAGAUCUAGCAUCACACUGCACAGUAGUCACCAUUUGUAGAAUGUUCUUCAUAAACUCAUGGAAAGUUCUAGCACUCAACCCAGAAAUGCUUGCCCGCUGCUGCUGCACCAUCUGCCCAGAAUGCUGUCUUGCCUUUUGGGGCCCUGAUCACACUGCUUCCUGUGGUUACCUCCCCGGGCCCAAAUCAGAGGAACACCCAGUGUUGAAGUGGGCUCUCUUUUUCCAAUCUUAACUUUAGGGCUCUUCCGCUUGAAUCCCCUACCUGCCCCAAUGGGACUGAAUAUUCCAUCUGAACUAGUCUGGUACUGAGAGCUGACGCCAUGGUGUGCGCAGUCACCUGGGUGCACAGGAGUCAGGAGACACAGAGGAGGGGAAUCCCUAGGCCUGCGUUCUCCUUAAUGAAGGCCAAGUGUAGAUGCACAGUUGGGAGUGGUCAGCUCUAGUCUAUUUAUAGGUGAGUCGAUGGGGUCAGGGGAGAGCAAUGUCACAUGCAACAGACUCUGGGGGACACACACCAUCCGUUUCUCUCUCUAUUGUACACUAACAAAUCCAAGAUGACAGCUUACUGUUUUUACAAGUCCAAGUGCACUGGGUCAGGAGUUCUGGAUGUACAUACAAAAUGCAUAUUUCAUACAUGUCAGGUAUGACAUUAAUACGGGCCAUAUUAGUUUCUCUAAAGCCUACCAGAGUCUUCCCGUCAGAAGUGAUAAAUUAGAAAAAUCUUGAUUCACAUCGCAUUGAUGGGCACAUGGGAAUGAGUCCCAUUGUGGAGGGAGCCACAGAUCACCAAUCAGCAUGCGUGUCAGCAGUCGAACCUAUACACCAGCUAAGCAGUGUGGUUUCAGAAGCCAGCCAGCCUUACAUUAGUCAAGAUAUCCAGAAAGAGCAGGCAAUGGAAUUAUGCUGGUUUUUAAAUAUGAUUUUCCAGUAGUUUAAAAAGAAUAAGUUUUUCAUUUAAAAAGCCAGCAGGAUCAGCAGGC